AUUGAACGCUGGCGGCAUGCUUUACACAUGCAAGUCGAACGGUAACACGCUUACGGGUUCCGCCGAGUGGCGGCCGGGGGCGUAAUGCUUAGGAAUGCAUCCGGAGGUACGUUUUAACGCAGCAUAACGUGUGCUAAUUUCCCCUGUUACCUCAGACUGCCUACGGGGGACAGCGCAGGAACGUUUGGCCUUGCGCCUUUGGAGCGGCCGAUGUCGGAUUAGCUAGUUGGUGGGGUAAAGGCCCACCAAGGCGACGAUCCGUAGCUGGUCUGAGAGGAUGACCAGCCACACUGGAACUGAGACACGGCCCAGACUCCUACGGGAGGCAGCAGUGGGGAAUAUUGGACAAUGGGCGCAAGCCUGAUCCAGCAAUGCCGCGUGGGGGAAGAAGGCCUUCGGGUUGUAAACCGCUUUUGGCAGGAACGAAACGGUGUCCGCUAAUACCGGGCGCUAAUGACGGUACCUGCAGAAUAAGCACCGGCUAACUACGUG
rnacentral:rRNA from 1 species